GGCUAAAACAGUCAGGAUGUUGGCUUAGAAGCAGCCAUCAUUUAAAGAAAGCGUAAUAGCUCACUGAUCGAGUCGUCCUGCGCGGAAGAUGUAACGGGGCUAAGCCAGUCACCGAAGCUGCGGAUAUCCGCAAGGAUAUGGUAGGAGAGCGUUCUGUAAGCCUGCGAAGGUGUCUUGUAAAGGAUGCUGGAGGUAUCAGAAGUGCGAAUGCUGACAUGAGUAGCGAUAAUGGGAGUGAAAAGCUCCCACGCCGUAAGCCCAAGGUUUCCUGUUCAACGUUCAUCGGAGCAGGGUGAGUCGGCCCCUAAGGCGAGGCAGAGAUGCGUAGCUGAUGGGAAGCAGGUUAAUAUUCCUGCACCGUCGUAUGAUGCGAUGGGGGGACGGAUCGCGGAAGGUUGUCCAACGGUUGGAAGUGUUGGUUUUUGACUCAUAGAAGGCGCUUAGGCAAAUCCGGGCGCGUAAUUCAAGGGGUCGAGACGAGGAACUUAGGUUCUGAAGCAAUCGGAAGUGGUUCCAAGAAAAGCCUCUAAGCUUCAGUCAUACGAGACCGUACCGCAAACCGACACAGGUGGGCGAGAUGAGUAUUCUAAGGCGCUUGAG
rnacentral:rRNA from 1 species